UAAAGCAAAGAAGAGCGCAGAGUGAAUGCCUUGGCAUUGGGAGCCGAUGAAGGACGUGGUUAACUGCGAUAAGCUGCGGGGAGCUGUAAGCAAGCUUUGAUCCGCAGAUUUCCGAAUGGAGCAAUCCACAUGAAGUAGUUCAUGUAUCCAUACGUGAAUUCAUAGCGUAUGGAGGGGAACCGCCUGAACUGAAACAUCUAAGUAGGGGGAGGAAGAGAAAUCAACCGAGAUUCCGUAAGUAGUGGCGAGCGAACGCGGAAGAGGCCAAACCGAGAGAAGAAAUUCUUUCGGGGUUCGGACUGCAUUUAGUAUUCUUGAUCUUUAGUCGAACAGUCUGGGAAGGCUGACAAGAGAGUGUGAUAGUCACGUAGACGAAAAGGAGAAAGAGCGAGCAGUAUCCAGAGUACCGCGGGGCACGUGAAAUCCCGUGGGAAGAUGGGGGGACCACCCUCCAAGCCUAAAUACUACCCAAUGACCGAUAGCGUAAAGUACUGUGAAGGAACGGUGAAAAGAACCCCGGGAGGGGAGUGAAAAGAACCUGAAACUCUGUGCUUACAAGCACAUAGAGCACGUCAAUGUGUGAUAUGGUACCUUUUGUAGAAUGGUCCGGCGAGUUAUGGUAUGCAGCGUGGUUAAGGACUUCAGGUCUGAAGCCGAAGCGAGAGCGAGUCUGACAAGGGCGAAAAGUUGUAUGCCAUAGACCCGAAACCGGGUGACCUAGCCAUGUCCAGGCUGAAGUGGAGGUAAAACUCCAUGGAGGGCCGAACCGACCUCCGUUGAAAAGGCGGCGGAUGAGAUGUGGCUAGCGGAGAAAUUCCAAUCGAACCCGGAGAUAGCUGGUUCUCCCCGAAAUAGCUUUAGGGCUAGCGUUGUAUUAGAUUACCGGAGGUAAAGCACUGAAUGGGCUAGGGGCUGAGAAGUUACUGAACCCUAUCAAACUAAGAAUGCCGGAUAAUUGAUGUACAGCAGUCAGACUAUGUGAGAUAAGUCUCAUAGUCAAAAGGGAAACAGCCCAGACCCACAGCUAAGGUCCCAAAAUGGAUUUAAGUGGAAAAGGAUGUGGAAUUGCACAGACAACCAGGAUGUUGGCUUAGAAGCAGCCACUCAUUAAAAGAGUGCGUAAUAGCUCACUGGUCGAGUGACUCUGCGCGGAAAAUAUAACGGGGCUAAGCAUGAAACCGAAGCUUGGGCUUGUCUUUAAGACAGGGGUAGGGGAGCGUCGAGUAUGGGGUGAAGUCAGAGCGGAAGCACUGGUGGACUGUACUCGAGUGAGAAUGCCGGAAUGAGUAGCGAGAAUUAUGUGGGAAUCAUAAUGGCCGAAAAUCUAAGGUUUCUUGGGGAAGGUUCGUCCGCCCAAGGUAAGUCGGGAGCUAAGCUCAGGCCGAGAGGCGUAGGCGAUGCACAUACGGUAGAAAUUCCGUAACCACCGAACUUUAAGCAUGAGGGACACUUUGAGAUAGCGGAACCCGGGCGUUGGUUGACCCGGGCGAAAGGGACCGAAAUAUAGUAGGGAAGUCCGCGAUGCUUGGAGGCGAGAAAAGCUCAUGUGUAUACUAAGGUGCCCGUACCGCAAACCGACACAGGUAGAUGAGGAGAGAAUCCUAAGGCCAACGGGAGAAGGGUUGUUAAGGAACUCGGCAAAUUGACCCCGUAACUUCGGAAGAAGGGGAGCCUCGAAAGAGGCCGCAGUGAAUAGGCCCAAGCAACUGUUUACCAAAAACACAGGUCUAUGCUAAAUCGAAAGAUGACGUAUAUGGGCUGACGCCUGCCCGGUGCCGGAAGGUUAAGAGGAGAGCUUAGCGCAAGCGAAGGUUUGAAUUGAAGCCCCGGUAAACGGCGGCCGUAACUAUAACGGUCCUAAGGUAGCGAAAUUCCUUGUCAGGUAAGUUCUGACCCGCACGAAAGG
rnacentral:rRNA from 1 species